rnacentral:rRNA from 1 species
GACGAACGCUGGCGGCGUGCCUAAUACAUGCAAGUUGAGCGCUGAAGGUUGGUACUUGUACCCACUGGAUGAGCAGCGAACGGGUGAGUAACGCGUGGGGAAUCUGCCUUUGAGCGGGGGACAACAUUUGGAAACGAAUGCUAAUACCGCAUAAAAACUUUAAACACAAGUUUUAAGUUUGAAAGAUGCAAUUGCAUCACUCAAAGAUGAUCCCGCGUUGUAUUAGCUAGUUGGUGAGGUAAAGGCUCACCAAGGCGAUGAUACAUAGCCGACCUGAGAGGGUGAUCGGCCACAUUGGGACUGAGACACGGCCCAAACUCCUACGGGAGGCAGCAGUAGGGAAUCUUCGGCAAUGGACGAAAGUCUGACCGAGCAACGCCGCGUGAGGGAAGAAGGUUGUCGGAUCGUAAAACUCUGUUGGUAGAGAAGAACGUUGGUGAGAGUGGAAAGCUCAUCAAGUGACGGUAACUACCCAGAAAGGGACGGCUAACUACGUG